rnacentral:pre_miRNA from 1 species
CAAGUACUCCCUCCGUUCGGAAUUACUUGUCAUCAAAAUGGAUGUGUCUAGAACUAAAAUACAUCUAGAUACAUCCAUUUCAAUGACAAGUAUUUUCAGACGGAGGGAGUACAAG